GGAUUAGUGCGCCGGUCGUGCCUUCGGUAUGUACUGGUGUUACUGGUUCCUACCUUCUGACGAACCGUCAUGUCAUUAAUUUGGUGUGGCGGGGAAUCAGGACUGUUACUUUGAAAAAAUUAGAGUGUUCAAAGCAGGCGUAACUCGCCUCCGAAUACGUUAGCAUGGGAUAAUGGAAUA
rnacentral:rRNA from 1 species